rnacentral:rRNA from 1 species
GGAAUAACACGAGGAAACUUGUGCUAAUACCGGAUAAGUCUUUACAGAGAAAGCUUUAUGCACCAUUGGAUGAGCCUGCACUUGAUUAGUUUGUUGGUGGGGUAAUGGCCUACCAAGACUUUGAUCAAUAGCUGAUUUGAGAGGAUGAUCAGCCACAUUGGGACUGAGACACGGCCCAAACUCCUACGGGAGGCAGCAGUGGGGAAUCUUGCACAAUGGAGGAAACUCUGAUGCAGCGAUGCCGCGUGAGUGAAGAAGGCCUUUGGGUUGU